GACGAACGCUGGCGGCGUGCCUAAUACAUGCAAGUCGAGCGAAAGGAAGGGAGCUUGCUCCCAGAAGUUAGCGGCGGACGGGUGAGUAACACGUGGGCAACCUGCCUGUAAGACUGGGAUAACUUCGGGAAACCGGAGCUAAUACCGGAUACGUUCUUUCCUCGCAUGAGGGAAGAUGGAAAGAUGGUUUCGGCUAUCACUUACAGAUGGGCCCGCGGCGCAUUAGCUAGUUGGUGGGGUAAUGGCCCACCAAGGCGACGAUGCGUAGCCGACCUGAGAGGGUGAUCGGCCACACUGGGACUGAGACACGGCCCAGACUCCUACGGGAGGCAGCAGUAGGGAAUCUUCCGCAAUGGACGAAAGUCCGACGGAGCAACGCCGCGUGAGCGAAGAAGGCCUUCGGGUCGUAAAGCUCUGUUGUCAGGGAAGAACAAGUGCCAGAGUAACUGCUGGCACCUUGACGGUACCUGACCAGAAAGCCACGGCUAACUACGUGCCAGCCGCCGCAGUAACAC
rnacentral:rRNA from 1 species